rnacentral:rRNA from 1 species
AGGUUGACCUCGGAUCAGGUAGGGAUACCCGCUGAACUUAAGCAUAUCAAUAAGCGGAGGAAAAGAAACCAACAGGGAUUGCCUCAGUAACGGCGAGUGAAGCGGCAAGAGCUCAAAUUUGAAAUCUGGCCCCCUCGGGGUCCGAGUUGUAAUUUGCAGAGGAUGCUUCGGGUGCGGCCCCCGUCUAAGUGCCCUGGAACGGGCCGUCAUAGAGGGUGAGAAUCCCGUCUGGGACGGGGUGUCCGCGUCCGUGUGAAGCUCCUUCGACGAGUCGAGUUGUUUGGGAAUGCAGCUCUAAAUGGGUGGUAAAUUUCAUCUAAAGCUAAAUACUGGCCGGAGACCGAUAGCGCACAAGUAGAGUGAUCGAAAGAUGAAAAGCACUUUGAAAAGAGAGUUAAAAAGCACGUGAAAUUGUUGAAAGGGAAGCGCUUGCGACCAGACUCGCCCGCGGGGUUCAGCCGGCAUUCGUGCCGGUGUACUUCCCCGUGGGCGGGCCAGCGUCGGUUUGGGCGGCCGGUCAAAGGCCCCCGGAAUGUAGCACCCUUCGGGGUGCCUUAUAGCCGGGGGUGCAAUGCGGCCAGCCUGGACCGAGGAACGCG